GAUGAACGCUGGCGGCGUGCCUAAUACAUGCAAGUCGAGCGAACAGAUGAGGAGCUUGCUCCUCUGACGUUAGCGGCGGACGGGUGAGUAACACGUGGAUAACCUACCUAUAAGACUGGGAUAACUUCGGGAAACCGGAGCUAAUACCGGAUAAUAUAUUGAACCGCAUGGUUCAAUAGUGAAAGACGGUUUUGCUGUCACUUAUAGAUGGAUCCGCGCCGCAUUAGCUAGUUGGUAAGGUAACGGCUUACCAAGGCAACGAUGCGUAGCCGACCUGAGAGGGUGAUCGGCCACACUGGAACUGAGACACGGUCCAGACUCCCACGGGAGGCAGCAGUAGGGAAUCUUCCGCAAUGGGCGAAAGCCUGACGGAGCAACGCCGCGUGAGUGAUGAAGGUCUUCGGAUCGUAAAACUCUGUUAUUAGGGAAGAACAAAUGUGUAAGUAACUAUGCACGUCUUGACGGUACCUAAUCAGAAAGCCACGGCUAACUACGUG
rnacentral:rRNA from 1 species